ACGGAGGGUGCAAGCGUUAUCCGGAUUCACUGGGUUUAAAGGGUGCGUAGGUGGGUUGGUAAGUCAGUGGUGAAAUCUCCGAGCUUAACUUGGAAACUGCCAUUGAUACUAUCAGUCUUGAAUACCGUGGAGGUCAGCGGAAUAUGUCAUGUAGCGGUGAAAUGCUUAGAUAUGACAUAGAACACCAAUUGCGAAGGCAGCUGGCUACUCGAAUAUUGACACUGAGGCACGAAAGCGUGGGGAUCAAACAGGAUUAGAUACCCUGGUAGUCCACGCCCUAAACUAUGGAUACUCGACAUUUGCGAUACACUGUAAGUGUCUGAGCGAAAGCAUUAAGUAUCCCACCUGGGAAGUACGAUCGCAAGAUUG
rnacentral:rRNA from 1 species